UAGUAACUAACAAACUCCAAAGUUGGC
rnacentral:sRNA from 1 species